UGUGUUAAAUGUUACUUAGAAAACACCUUUUCCUGGUGUUUUAACGCAGUGUUUCACAACAUUUAUUGUGUUAGGAUACAUAUUUUACAUGAGAAAAAUCUUACAGCACACCGUCAAACAAAAAUGUAAAAUAUGAAUGGCGACAGGUUAUUGAUGUACCUUCUGCCAAUUAGUGGAAUUGUUCUGCCUUUCACUAUACGUCGCUGACAUAGUGUCAUAUAUUAAACAUUAUUUGUAGUAAAUGAAUCAAAAUUUUUGGACGAAUUUAGUGAUCUUGGGUGAUUUCCUGCUGCGUAUAUUAAUUCAAUUAAUGUAAUGUUAAUGGCACACGAUUGACACCUACAGGGCUAAACGGGAACAGCAAUGGUCCUAAUGUACUGGCGUACAAGAGUAGUCCGAUCUUUGGCUUCGAAUUGCGGCGUGAUCCUGAAUCGACAAAGCUUCUAAAGUCAUACACGACAGUUUUAAAGAGUGUAAAUGUGUAUUUUUAAUCACAAAACGUUCGCAUCCUUACCUUGUUAACUACACGGCAACCGGAACGGCAAAUCACCUUAUAUCGCUCGUACGUGACGUCAUCAGUGGCCGACUCAAAAAUGCUAACAGACCGUUUUUAGCAUAAAACAAUUAUAGUUUACGGUAAAUGUAUAUAAAUUAGAACUGAAACAAGAUAAAUGAAGAUUUAAGGUUACUUUGUCGAAUAAGUUGCACGAUAUCAUGAGUUAUUUCUUGACUUCAGUUGCGUUUGACUACAUUUGGGUUAUUGAGGUGAGAAAGUGUCAUGGCAAAACAGGGCGGCGGUGUUGAAGAGGAAGCUGACCGCAGAGUGUGUGUUCAGGGAGCAGUUUGAGGAGAACUGGUACAACACGUACGCCUCCACCCAAUACAAGCACAACGACACGGGACGCUUCUACUACGUGGCCUUGAACAAAGACGGCUCUCCCAGGGAGGGCAACAGGACUAAAAAACACCAAAAACUCACCCACUUCUUACCCCGGCCGGUGGAGAUCGAGAAGAUCCCUCAGGCGUACAGGGACCUCUUCCAGUACAGGUGACCAGAGUGUGGAUGGAUUUCCAAGAAGAGACGGCCACGGGGGAGGGUUAUUUGCUCCAAAACUGUUUACCUUCAACGCCCCUCUCCGCUGAGGUCACCGCCUCGGCUCGCUACCAAGCACUGAUAUAAACAUUUCUGCAUGUUCCUGGAUGUUGCUUCAUUGCAUCUGCAGUGAACUCGACCACUGAGGACGCUGGAAACUGGUGCCACCUUUUCAUGAAAUAACCACUUUUUUUUUUCCUAGAAGCACUAAAAAAGCGGAUGAUUGCCUUUUUGAGACCGCUGAAGACAUUGACAGACACACAGUUAAUGGAGGAGGAGGAGGAGGCACAUUCCCACAUGGACUUAGAAGGCGAGGCAGGAGUCAGGUACUGGAAAUGUCCUUACAUGUAAAAAAAAAACAAAAACAUGAAUGUGGGAUUGAUCCGAGAGCACUUAACUGCACAUCCCAUCUUCCUAGAAAUCACAUUCAUGGCUUUUAAAAUAAGAUUUUAAGAGACAGUGAACGCCACAGCACUUCUCUACCUGUGCUUGUAAAGAAGACGCCACUGACGUGUGAUGUUCAGGUGUCAGGAAAACUUAUUGGAAACAAAAAAAAACAACACAGCAAGCAGCUGAGGGAGUACACAUGGGCGAUCCUAUUUAUGAGAUGUACAAUAUAUUUAUUUUCUACAUAUAAAGUAUAAAUAGAAAUCUAUAUAUUUAUUUAUUGCAAAGACUUUAUUUUGUAAUGAACUUGAAAAUUAUUUGGACCGUAGAUUCUACUGAAAUUACAUCAUUCGACCGUUUUUUAGACCAAAGCGGCAUUGGCACCGCUGUCGCUGGUGCUCAGGUUCUAAUGAAGAAGAGCAAUUGACAGCAAUGGAAUUGACCUGCGAUGCGACAACGUGCAGCGGGAGUAUUUGUGCUUGGAUCCAAAUUUCAUGUACCGAUUAAAAAACACAUGUAGAACCCAUGUGUCAGUUUGUAAUUUUUUUUUUUGUCAG